rnacentral:rRNA from 1 species
GCGUGCGUAGGCGGUUGUUUAAGUCAGAUGUGAAAGCCCUGGGCUUAACCUGGGAACUGCAUUUGAUACUGGGCAACUAGAGUUUAGUAGAGGGGAGUGGAAUUUCAGGUGUAGCGGUGAAAUGCGUAGAGAUCUGAAGGAACACCAGUGGCGAAGGCGGCUCCCUGGACUAAAACUGACGCUGAGGUACGAAAGCGUGGGUAGCAAACAGGAUUAGAUACCCUGGUAGUCCACGCCGUAAACGAUGUCAACUAACUGUUGGGUUCUUAAAGAACUUAGUAGUGGAGCUAACGUAUUAAGUUGACCGCCUGGGGAGUACGGCCGCAAGGCUAAAACUCAAAUGAAUUGACGGGGGCCCGCACAAGCGGUGGAGCAUGUGGUUUAAUUCGAUGCAACGCGAAGAACCUUACCUACCCUUGACAUCCAGAGAAUCUGUUAGAGAUAGCGGAGUGCCUUCGGGAGCUCUGAGACAGGUGCUGCAUGGCUGUCGUCAGCUCGUGUUGUGAAAUGUUGGGUUAAGUCCCGUAACGAGCGCAACCCUUAUCCUUAGUUGCCAGCGGGUCAUGCCGGGAACUCUAGGGAGACUGCCGGUGAUAAACCGGAGGAAGGUGGGGACGACGUCAAGUCAUCAUGGCCCUUAUG